rnacentral:rRNA from 1 species
CCUACGGGUGGCAGCAGUGGGGAAUAUUGCACAAUGGGGGAAACCCUGAUGCAGCGACGCCGCGUGAGUGAAGAAGGAUCUCGGUAUGUAAAGCUCUAUCAGCAGGGAAGAAAAUGACGGUACCUGACUAAGAAGCCCCGGCUAACUACGUGCCAGCAGCCGCGGUAAUACGUAGGGGGCAAGCGUUAUCCGGAUUUACUGGGUGUAAAGGGAGCGGAGACGGCGCGGCAAGUCCGGAGUGAAAGCCCAUGGCGUAACCCUGGGACUGCUCUGGAAACUGUGGAGCUUGAGUGCGGGAGGGGCAGGCGGAAUUCCUCGUGUAGCGGUGCAAUGCGUAGCUAUUAGGAGGAACCCCGGCGGCGAAGGCGGCCUGCUGGACCGUAACUGACGUUGCGGCUCG